rnacentral:rRNA from 1 species
UGGGGAAUAUUGGACAAUGGGGGCAACCCUGAUCCAGCAAUGCCGCGUGUGUGAAGAAGGUUUUCGGAUUGUAAAGCACUUUCGACGGGGACGAUGAUGACGGUACCCGUAGAAGAAGCCCCGGCUAACUUCGUGCCAGCAGCCGCGGUAAUACGAAGGGGGCUAGCGUUGCUCGGAAUGACUGGGCGUAAAGGGCGUGUAGGCGGUUUGUACAGUCAGAUGUGAAAUCCCCGGGCUUAACCUGGGAGCUGCAUUUGAUACGUGCAGACUAGAGUGUGAGAGAGGGUUGUGGAAUUCCCAGUGUAGAGGUGAAAUUCGUAGAUAUUGGGAAGAACACCGGUGGCGAAGGCGGCAACCUGGCUCAUAACUGACGCUGAGGC